AUGGCCGUCAUGUCCUUCAUGAAGAUCGGCGGCCGGCUUGGGCAGGCCGGGUCUGACCUCGGCGCCCCCGUCGGCGGCGCCGUGCAGCAGCUGUCGUGGCAGCUUCCCGCGCCGUUCCGCGCACGGCGCCGGAAGUGGGAGGGGGCCGCCACGUCGCCGACGCCCGCGGCGGCGGUGGACGAGGGGGAAGCGGGGCUCUCCGCGGAGAGGGCUGCCGAGGGCGGGGUAGCCUUGGAGGGCGUCGGGGAAGGAGGCUCGGGUCGGAUCGGGUCGGUCUCUGAUUCAAAACUACCUUAUAUAAGGGCUUGCCUAUUGUAG
rnacentral:rRNA from 1 species